ACUUGGUCUGAGUGCAGUGAUAUUUAAAACUAAUUGAUCACACCAAGUUACAGAUUCCUUUGUUCCUUCUCCACUCCUGCUUCAAUUCACUAGUCUA
rnacentral:Y_RNA from 1 species